CCUACGGGAGGCAGCAGUAGGGAAUUUUCGUCAAUGGGCGCAAGCCUGAACGAGCAAUGCCGCGUGAACGAGGAAGGUCUUCGGAUCGUAAAGUUCUGUUGAAGGGGAAAAAGAGCGGAGAGAGGAAAUGGUCUCCGAUUGAUAUUACCCUUCGAGGAAGUCACGGCUAACUACGUGCCAGCAGCCGCGGUAAUACGUAGGUGGCGAGCGUUAUCCGGAAUGAUUGGGCGUAAAGGGUGCGUAGGCGGCCUGCUAAGUCUGGAGUGAAAGGUACGGGCUCAACUGGUAAAGGUUAUGGAAACUGGCGGGCUAGAGAGCAGGAGAGGGCGGUGGAACUCCAGGUGUAGCGGUAAAAUGCGUAGAUAUAUGGAAGAACACCAGUGGCGAAGGCGGCCGCCUGGCCUGUUACUGACGCUGAGGCACGAAAGCGUGGGGAGCAAAUAGGAUUAGAUACCCGAGUAGUC
rnacentral:rRNA from 1 species